GUGGGAGCUGGCUUGCCAGCGAUGGCGUCGUGUCAGCAGACAUCGAUUUUUCUGAUACACCGCAAUCGCUGGCAAGCCAGCUCCCAC
rnacentral:misc_RNA from 1 species